ACCUGAUGGUGUGGGCAUUUAAGUAAUAAGCCCUUAAAACGCUCCCCAGUCUCUAAAAAUAGUUCCCCAUCAUACUAUGAGAAACUAAUGAUGGCUCUCCUAAGAU